UUUUUAUUUCCCACAUUUUGCUAUUAACCAUUUCUUAAUAUCCUCACCAUUUCCAUCUAUACCUAAACAGACAUUUUUAUACAUCGUGGAUCCCCGUCGUUCGCCGAUGAGGAUUCAGGUGUAAGACCAACUGAAUCCCCUGCUCCGCAAUUCCGUGAGUCGCCGAGGAUUCCGCUGGAAUCAUACAAGAACCUCUGCGACCCGAAGCUGACCUCUUUGGAAUUCCUCGGUUCAGCACUUUCCCCUCUGUCCGAUUUCAUUCAGGUCAACUGGACACUGCAGAAAGUGUUAUUUGCCCAAAGUGUCUCGCAGUAGGACAGAACGAGGGACCUCGUGGUUGUUAAGGGAUCUUCUUGACCAUUCGGCCGUACUCUGCCUACACACACACACACGAAGCACCUGCUGAAGAUGACGUGCAACUUCCAAAGAAAGUUUUAACACUGGAAAACUUCAAGGUGCAUACGUCGAAAGUUUAUUUCUAUAGCAUAUCUGUGCCUAUCUAUCUAUCUAUCUAUCCAUCCAUCCAUCCGUUUAUCCAUCUAUUUGUCUGUCUAUUUAUCUAUAUAUGUCUACCUAUCUAUCUCUAUUUAUCUAUCUAUCUAUCUCUCUUUACUCUUUUACUUGUUUCAGUCAUGUGACUGUGGCCAUGCUGGAGCACCGCCUUUAGUCGAGCAAAUCGACCCCAGGACUUAUUCUUUGUAAGCCUAGUACUUAUUUUAUCGGUCUCUUUUUGCCGAACCGCUAAGUUACGGGAACGUAAACACACCAGCAUCGGUUGUCAAGCGAUGUUGGGGGGACAAACACAGACACACAAACGCACACACAUACACAUAUAUAUACAUAUAUACAACGGGCUUCUUUCAGUUUCCGCCUACCAAAUCCACUCACAAGGCUUUGGUCGGCCCGAGGCUAUAGUAGAAGACCCUUGCCCAAGGUGCCACGCAGUGGGACUGAACCCGGAACCAUGUGGUUGGUAAACAAGCUACUUACCACACAACCCUAUCUAUCCAUUUGUCUAUAUAGAAAUAUAGUGAAAUUUCCAUUGUUGAAGUUCUACUCAUUAAGUUUCCUCAAUAUCUUUUACUGUUUUUCUCUUAUUUCAGAAUAUCAGAACAAUUCAAGUGUUUAAGAAUAUCUGACUUCAGUUCUCUCAUCAAUUUUGUGUGUUAAAGACUAAUGGAAGAUACCCAAAACAAACACCUUCAUUUUUGUAUUAAUCUCUGCAGAAUUACAGGGAAAUAUUUCUUGUGAAUUGAGAUUGAGAACAAAAUCUGUCCACUUCACAAUUAGGAAUUUAUUCAAAAUGAUUUGAUAUUCAAAUGAAAAUUGGAGAAAAUUUACCUUGAAAAUUGGAGAAAUUGAAUUUCAUGGUUAUUCCAGUAAUGAUCUACAAAAAAGUUGGAG
rnacentral:lncRNA from 1 species